AUUGAACGCUGGCGGCAUGCCUUACACAUGCAAGUCGAACGGUAACGCGGGGCAACCUGGCGACGAGUGGCGAACGGGUGAGUAAUGCAUCGGAACGUGCCCAGUAGUGGGGGAUAGCCCGGCGAAAGCCGGAUUAAUACCGCAUACGACCUACGGGUGAAAGCGGGGGACCGCAAGGCCUCGCGCUAUUGGAGCGGCCGAUGUCAGAUUAGGUUGUUGGUGGGGUAAAGGCCUACCAAGCCGACGAUCUGUAGCUGGUCUGAGAGGACGACCAGCCACACUGGGACUGAGACACGGCCCAGACUCCUACGGGAGGCAGCAGUGGGGAAUUUUGGACAAUGGGCGCAAGCCUGAUCCAGCCAUGCCGCGUGCGGGAAGAAGGCCUUCGGGUUGUAAACCGCUUUUGUCAGGGAAGAAACGCUCUGGGCUAAUACCCCGGGGUAAUGACGGUACCUGAAGAAUAAGCACCGGCUAACUACGUGCCAGCCGCCGCCGUAA
rnacentral:rRNA from 1 species